UACGUAGGUGGCGAGCGUUAUCCGGAAUGAUUGGGCGUAAAGGGUGCGCAGGCGGCAUAUCAAGUCUGAAGUGAAAGGUACGGGCUCAACCUGUACAGGCUUUGGAAACUGGUAUGCUCGAGGACAGGAGAGGGCGGUGGAACUCCACGUGUAGCGGUAAAAUGCGUAGAGAUGUGGAAGAACACCAGUGGCGAAGGCGGCCGCCUGGCCUGUAACUGACGCUCAGGCACGAAAGCGUGGGGAGCAAAUAGG
rnacentral:rRNA from 1 species